GAUGAACGCUGGCGGCGUGCCUAAUACAUGCAAGUCGAGCGAACGGACGAUAAGCUUGCUUUUCUGAUGUUAGCGGCGGACGGGUGAGUAACACGUGGAUAACCUACCUAUAAGACUGGGAUAACUUCGGGAAACCGGAGCUAAUACCGGAUAAUAUUUUGAACCGCAUGGUUCAAAAGUGAAAGACGGUCUUGCUGUCACUUAUAGAUGGAUCCGCGCUGCAUUAGCUAGUUGGUAAGGUAACGGCUUACCAAGGCAACGAUGCAUAGCCGACCUGAGAGGGUGAUCGGCCACACUGGAACUGAGACACGGUCCAGACUCCUACGGGAGGCAGCAGUAGGGAAUCUUCCGCAAUGGGCGAAAGCCUGACGGAGCAACGCCGCGUGAGUGAUGAAGGUCUUCGGAUCGUAAAACUCUGUUAUUAGGGAAGAACAUAUGUGUAAGUAACUGUGCACAUCUUGACGGUACCUAAUCAGAAAGCAACGGCUAACUACGUG
rnacentral:rRNA from 1 species